rnacentral:rRNA from 1 species
AUUGAACGCUGGCGGCAGGCCUAAUACAUGCAAGUCGAGCGAGCGGCGGACGGGUGAGCAAUGUCUGGGAAACUGCCUGAUGGAGGGGGAUAACUACUGGAAACGGUAGCUAAUACCGCAUACCAUCAGAUGUGCUCAGGUGGGAUUAGCUAGUGGGUGGGGUAAUGGCUCACCUAGGCGACGAUCCCUAGCGGGCCUGAGAGGAUGACCGGCCACACUGGAACUGAGACACGGUCCAGACUCCUACGGGAGGCAGCAGUAGGGAAUAUUGCACAAUGGGCGCAAGCCUGAUGGAGCAAGGCCGCGUGUGUGAAGAAGGCCUUCGGAUUGUAAAGCACUUUCAGCGGGGAGGCGUUACCCACAGAGGAAGCACCGGCUAACUCCGUGCCAGCAGCCGCGGUAAUAC